rnacentral:lncRNA from 1 species
UAUAUAUUUAUAUAUAAUAGUUGAACGGAAGUCAGUGGGUGGGAACCACGGGGGACGUCCGUUGUAUUGCCGGACCUAUUUAACCGACGCACAAUCAGCUCAUUUCCCUCUCUGAUCGUCACCUCAUGCACGUCACGGCUGCUUUGCACGGAAUUCCGAAAGAAAUCUGAUGAAAUCAGAACGGGUCUGCAUCUCCGGCCAGUAGCGACAUGGCGAAAGCUCCAGGUGAAUGUUGAUGGAUUAAAUUCCCAUACUAUCUGGAUGUGUAAAGGGCUUUAAAAGGACCUGUUUGGUAAAGGUAUGAACUUCCCUUGUAAUGGAUGAUUUUAACUCUGUUUGCCUGAUUGUUUAAUAACUAUUUUUUUCCUUUAGGACCGUGAGUAAGUCCCACCAACCUUUUAACCCUUUUUUUUUUUUUAACAUGUACGUUUGACCCUGGGACUGUAUUGUUUAUUGUAAUCAUUACUUUUACCUAUCACUGCAAACGUGUUAAGUUGCUGUGGUUUUGUUGGUUUGCUGUGGCCUGGUUUUAAAGUGAUAGUGAUGAACUGUUUAUAUUUUCAUGUGCCAUUAUAAUAAAUAAUUUUGAAAUUUACCUCCA